rnacentral:rRNA from 1 species
UACAGAGACCUCAAACGUUGUCCGGAUUUAUUGGGCGUAAAGAGCUCGUAGGCGGUUCCGUAAGUCGGGUGUGAAAAAUCUGGGCUCAACCCAGUGGAGCACCCGAUACUGCGGUGACUCGAGUCCGGUAGGGGAGUGUGGAAUUCCUGGUGUAGCGGUGAGAUGCGCAGAUAUCAGGAGGAACACCGACGGCGAAGGCAGCACUCUGGGCCGGUACUGACGCUGAGGAGCGAAAGCAUGGGGAGCGAACAGG